AAAAACAUCGCCUCCUGCAACACAGCCCUGUAUAGGAGGUCCAACCUGCCCAGUGACUACAAGUUCAACGGCCGCGGUAUUUUAACCGUGCAAAGGUAGCGCAAUCACUUGUCUUUUAAAUAAAGACCUGUAUGAAUGGUCAAACGAGGGCUUAACUGUCUCCCUUUUCCAGUCAGUGAAAUUGAUCUGCCCGUGCAGAAGCGGGCAUAAAAAUACAAGACGAGAAGACCCUUUGGAGCUUAAGGUACAAAACUCAAUCACGUCAAACAACUCAAUAAAAAGUAAUUAACCUUGUGAAGCAUGAGAUUUUACCUUCGGUUGGGGCGACCACGGAGGAAAACAAAGCCUCCAGGUGGACUGGGAAAUAUUCCUAAAACCAAGAGAGACAUCUCUAAGCCACAGAACAUCUGACCAAACAUGAUCCGGCCACCCAUAUAGCCGAUCAACGAACCAAGUUACCCUAGGGAUAACAGCGCAAUCCCCUCCCAGAGUCCAUAUCGACGAGGGGGUUUACGACCUCGAUGUUGGAUCAGGACAUCCUAAUGGUGCAGCCGCUAUUAAGGGUUCGUUUGUUCAACGAUUAAAGUCCUACGUGAUCUGAG
rnacentral:rRNA from 1 species